rnacentral:rRNA from 1 species
AGUGAACGCUGGCGGUAGGCCUAACACAUGCAAGUCGAACGGCAGCACAGUAAGAGCUUGCUCUUACGGGUGGCGAGUGGCGGACGGGUGAGGAAUACAUCGGAAUCUACUUUUUCGUGGGGGAUAACGUAGGGAAACUUACGCUAAUACCGCAUACGACCUACGGGUGAAAGCAGGGGAUCUUCGGACCUUGCGCGAUUGAAUGAGCCGAUGUCGGAUUAGCUAGUUGGCGGGGUAAAGGCCCACCAAGGCGACGAUCCGUAGCUGGUCUGAGAGGAGGAUCAGCCACACUGGAACUGAGACACGGUCCAGACUACUACGGGAGGAAGCAGUGGGGAAUAUUGGACAAUGGGCGCAAGCCUGAUCCAGCCAUACCGAGUGGGUGAAGAAGGCCUUCGGGUUGUAAAGCCCUUUUGUUGGGAAAGAAAAGCAGCAGGUUAAUACCCCGCUGUUCUGACGGUAACCAAAGAAUAAGCACCGGCUAACUUCGUG